rnacentral:rRNA from 2 species
UUUCCGCCCUUCAGUGCUGCAGCUAACGCAUUAAGCAUUCCGCCUGGGGAGUACGGCCGCAAGGCUGAAACUCAAAGGAAUUGACGGGGGCCCGCACAAGCGGUGGAGCAUGUGGUUUAAUUCGAAGCUACGCGAAGAACCUUACCAGGUCUUGACAUACUAUGCAAAUCUAAGAGAUUAGACGUUCCCUUCGGGGACAUGGAUACAGGUGGUGCAUGGUUGUCGUCAGCUCGUGUCGUGAGAUGUUGGGUUAAGUCCCGCAACGAGCGCAACCCUUAUUAUCAGUUGCCAGCAUUAAGUUGGGCACUCUGGUGAGACUGCCGGUGACAAACCGGAGGAAGGUGGGGAUGACGUCAAAUCAUCAUGCCCCUUAUGACCUGGGCUACACACGUGCUACAAUGGAUGGUACAACGAGUUGCGAACUCGCGAGAGUAAGCUAAUCUCUUAAAGCCAUUCUCAGUUCGGAUUGUAGGCUGCAACUCGCCUACAUGAAGUC